CAAGGUAGUGCGAAGGAUUAACUGCAAUGUGGAGCCUCUGGAAUUUGGAGUUGUACUUUCCGGAAAAUUGUGGUGUAACAGCCAGGCGAUAUUUCCCAAAGGAUUUAAGAGCCGGGUUAGAUACACAAGUGUUUUAGAUCCAACAAAUAUGUGUUACUAUGUAUCAGAAAUUCUGGAUGCCGGACAAAAAGGACCUCUGUUCAUGGUUUCCAUGGAGCAUUGUCCAAGUGAGGUAUUCAUUCACAUUUCAGCAGCCAGAUGCUGGGAAAUGGUGAGAGAGAGAGUAAAUCAAGAGAUCACAAAGCAGCAUAAAUUGGGAAGAAUGAACUUGCCACCUUUGCAACCUCCUGGAAGUCUUGAUGG
rnacentral:misc_RNA from 1 species